UAGAGUCGGUUAAUAAUUUGGUUAAUUGAAAAUUCGGUUCGAUUCGAUUUGGUUAACUGAAUACUCAACCCUAUUUGCAUUUAUAACUUGCUCUUCUUGUUGGCCUGGCUUUGUUGUUUUUGGAGAAAUCCUUCUCAUUCUUCCCCUGGCUUGUCUUGGCAUGGUGUUGUGUUUCUUUUCAAAUGUGGACUGAAUGACAAGAGCCUUUCAUGGGCUGCCCAGCCUCAAUCCUACAUUCUGCUUUUGCCUAAUUUGUUAGGCAUUUUUGGUUUUUUUCAUCUCUAUAUUUUUUUCUUGCACACUGUUUGUCAACUGUGGCUCUUCAUUGUUUUUUUCUUCUUUUCUUUUUCAUCUUCAAUCUCUCUUAGAUUCCUCAAGAAGUAUAGCUUGGUUAUGAUUUACCCAAAAUAUAGUCAGUAUCAUGAUUUCGACUAGGAUCCAUGGCUUUGUCAAGAUUGCACAAAGGAAAUACUAACAGAAAUCAAGGAGUAAACAUCCUGAAACAUCAAAAUAUUUGAAAAUUUUGAGAAGUCAAAUAGAUGGAACAAAUUAGUGAUAAUAAUACCUGCAUGUUUAAGCAAAGAAAGUUAAAUUCAUCAUCUCAGGCAGCAUGUUCCCGCAAAA
rnacentral:misc_RNA from 1 species